UACGUAGGGUGCAAGCGUUGUCCGGAAUUAUUGGGCGUAAAGGGCUCGUAGGCGGUCCAUCGCGUCGGGAGUGAAAAGCUGGGGCUCAACCCCAGUCCUGCUUCCGAUACGGGUGGACUAGAGGUAUGCAGGGGAGAACGGAAUUCCUGGUGUAGCGGUGAAAUGCGCAGAUAUCAGGAGGAACACCGGUGGCGAAGGCGGCAUCCUGGACCGGUAUUGACGCUGAGGCGCGAAAGCCAGGGGAGCAAACGGG
rnacentral:rRNA from 1 species